UACGUAGGGUGCAAGCGUUUGUCCGGAAUUAUUGGGCGUAAAGAGCUCGUAGGCGGCCUGUUGCGUCCGCUGUGAAAUCCCGGGGCUCAACCCCGGGCCUGCAGUGGAUACGGGCUGGCUAGAGGCAGGCAGGGGGAGAACGGAAUUCCUGGUGUAGCGGUGAAAUGCGCAGAUAUCAGGAGGAACACCGGUGGCGAAGGCGGUUCUCUGGGGCCUGUACUGACGCUGAGGAGCGAAAGCGUGGGGAGCAAACAGG
rnacentral:rRNA from 1 species